ensembl:lncRNA
GCCUGCACACAGCCCUAACCUAACACCUACCUGAUCUUUUGUUGAAAAGUCGAGGUGACGCAGAAUGUUGUGCAGUCCCAUAUUGACUGUAUCCUCAGCUGUCCUGUUUGCCUCGUAAGCAAACUUCAGGGGGUCCAGUAGCGGCUUUGUGAUGUCCUUCAUGUGGCUCAACACCAGUCUUUCAAAUGACUUCAUGACCACAAACAUCAGGGCGGCAGGCCUGUAGUCAUUUAAUUAUGUAAUGGUGGACUUCUUUGGGAGAGAAAUGAUAAUGGAGCAUUUAAAUCAGCAGAGGAACUUCACACAGCUUCAGAGAUCUGUUAAAGAUUCGGGUGAAGAUGGGCACCAGUUGGUCGGCACAGACUUUCAGGCACAAGGGGGACACACCAUCAGGUCCUGGAAACUUCCUGGUCUUCUGUCUCUGGAAAAGCAGACACACAUCCACCUCACAGAUCUUUAAGCACUUUUUGUAUUAGUACCUAAUACUCGGAUCGACUCACCACGGAUUGCUGCAACUUGACUUGGAGCAACAGGUUUUCCAUUACAAACAAGUACCACCUAGUGUGUGGUCGUCAUAGCAAUGCCGCAGAGCAUCCUGUGACAUGAUUAGUAUGUGACAUGAACGCUACAACAAAGGUGGACGUAGAGGAAAGAAUAUACCUGCUGCUCAAACUGUGUUUUGUGUUUUUGGUUUAAGUUUUAUUCUGGGAAUUGUGGUUUUCUGUCUUGUAUUUCCUGUUUUACUUUAGAGAGUCCCAUGUCUGGUGUUCAGGGUUUUGGGUUUUGCUUUCCCGUUGUCUUGUCUAAUUAGGUUCAGCUGUGUCUCCCUCCUGUGUGCCAUUUCCUUUUUACUUUGGGUGCAUAUCUAGUGCGUGGUUACCUCUGUUCUUCAUCUGAGCUUCUGCGUAUCAUUCUGUGUAUCAUGGUUCUUGGUCAUCCUGUUCAUCUUCCCCAGUGUCUCUCCAGCUACGUUUCCAUGUUGCAGGUUGUUUAGUUUUAUGUUUCUAGUUUCAUGUUUAGCUGACCCCAGUUUGGGUUUUUG